rnacentral:misc_RNA from 1 species
UCGCGGCUUAUCACCGGCAGUCUCCUUAGAGUGCCCAACUUAAUGCUGGCAACUAAGGGCGAGGGUUGCGCUCGUGUCGUGAGAUGUCGGGUUAAGUCCCUGAACGAGCGAAACCCUUGUCGUUAGUUGCCAGCGGGUCAUGCCGGGGACUCUAACGAGACUGCCGUUGUCAAAACGGAGGAAGGUGGGGAUGACGUAUGCGUAACAGAA